rnacentral:ncRNA from 1 species
UAUGGCAAAGAUAGAUGAUAACAAAUUACAUCAAUUUAAAAUUGAAUGAUUAAAGGAAUUGUGGAAUGAAACAUCUUGAAUCUAUUUUCAAACUUUCAAUGAGUACGACGUCAUGCUUGCUUGAAUGAAGCGUAAAUAUUGGAUGUGUGUUCUAAAUGGGCCAUUUUUGGUGAACAGAACUGGUAUUGUAGGAUGAAUCA